CCAGCAAAACCAUAGCCAAGGGAAUGGGCUUGGCAGAAUCAGCGAGGUAAGUAUAAAUAAAUUCAGAUUGUGAAACUGCGAAUGGCUCAUUAAAUCAGUUAUAGUUUGUUUGAUGGUAUCUACUACUCGGAUAACCAUAGUAAUUCUAGAUCUAAUACAUACAGCAAACCCUGACUUUUGGAAGGGAUGCAUUUAUUAGAUAAAAGGUCAACGCGAGCUCUGCCCGUUACUACGAUUAUUCAUGAUAACUCGACAGAUCGCACUGCCAUCGUGCCGGCGACGCAUCAUUCAAAUUUUUGUCCUAUCAAGUAUCGAUAGUAGGAUAGUGGCCUACCAUGAUGGUGAUGGUUGAUGGAGAAUUAGGGUUCGAUUUUGGAAAGGGAGCCUCAGAAACGGCCACAUCCAAGGAAUGCUGCAGGCACGCAAAUUACACAAUCCAAACAUGGGGAGGUAGUGACAAUAAAUAACAAUCCGGUCUCAGUGAGUCUGGUAAUUGGAAUGAGUACAAUCUAAGUCCCUUAACAAGGAUCCAUUGGAGGAAGAGUCUGGUGCCAGCAACCGCGGUAAUUCCAGCACCAAUAGAGUAUAUUUAAGUUGUUGCAGUUAAAAUGCUCGAAGUUGGACUUUGUGAUUGGCCGAACGGUUCGCCUAUGAUAUGCAUUGGUUGUCUUUUCUCUUCUGUCGGCGAUGUGCUCCUGGCCUUAACUGGCUGGGUCGUGCCUCCGGUGCUAUUACUUUGAUGAAAUUAAAGUGCUUAAAGCAAGCCUACGCUCUGUAUACGUUAACAAGGGAUAACAUUAUAGGAUUUCGUUCCUAUUAGGUUGGCCUUUGGGAUCAGAGUAAUGAUUAACAGGGACAGUCGGGGGCAUUCGUAUUUCAUAGUCAGAGGUGAAAUUAUUCAAUUUAUGAAAUACGAACAACUGAGAAAGCAUUUUCCAAGGAUGUUUUCAUUAAUCAAGAAUGAAAGUUGGGGGCUCAAAGGCAGUCAGAUACCGUCCUAGUCUCAACCAUAAAUGAUGCCAACCAGGGAUCGGCGGAUGUUGCUUUUAGGACUCUGCCGGCACUUUAUGAAAAAGCAAAGUUUUUGGGUUUCGGGAGGAGUAUGGUCGUAAGGCUGAAAAUUAAAGGAAUUAAUGGAAGGGCACCACCAGGAGUAGAGCCUGCGGCUUAAUUUGACUCAACACAGGGAAACUUACCAGGACCAGACAUAGUAUAGAUUGACAAACUGAGAGCUCUUUAUUGAUUCUAUGGGUGGUGGUGCAUGUCCGUUCUUAGUAUGUGGAGCGAUUUGUCUGGUUAGUUCCAUUAAUGAACGAGACCUCAUCUUGCUAACUAGCUAUGCGGAGGUAUCCCUUCACGGCCAGCUUCUUAGAGGGACUAUAACCUUUUAGGCCGCGGAAGUUUGAGGCAAUAACAGGUCUGUGAUGCCCUUAGUUAUUCUGGGUCGCACGCGCACUACACUGAUGUAUUCAAUGAGUUUAUAAGCCUUGGCCGACAGGCCCGGGUAAUCUUUGAAAUUUCAUCGUGAUGGGGAUAGAUCAUUGCAAUUGUUGGUCUUCAAUGAGGAAUUCCUAGUAAGCGUAAGUCAUCAGCUCACGUUGACUAAGUCCCUACAUUUUGUACACACCGCCCGUCGCUCUUAUCGAUUGAAUGACCCAAUGAAAUGUUUGGAUCACAGCGAUGUGGUCGAUUCACUGCCCGCGACGUCGCGAGAAGUCCAUUGAACCUUAUCAUUUAUAGGAAGGAGAAUUUGUAAUAAGGUUUACGUAGGUGAACCUGUGGAAG
rnacentral:rRNA from 1 species